UGUUAAUGUUAUUCAUGAUAAUUCGUUAUGAGUUCUCUUUUUUCGUUUCAAUCUUUAUAAGUAAUGGAAAGAGCUGCUAUGUGGGUUAUAUUAUAGAAUCUUUUAGAUUGGUUUGAAUAUAUUCUGUCUUCGAACUCAGAUUUUCUUCAAUGUUGGGAGAUGGGGUAAUUGCUAAGAGUUUUGGUAACUAUUUAUUCGUUAAUUGGGUUAUUGUUCUUCUAGUUCCUGUAUCAAUGGGACAUCACGAGUUGGGUUUUACGAAGCUCUGUUAUCCAUAAUGUGGGUUUUUGAGCAUCUUUAUGUGCAUUUUAUCUAAAUUUUGGAGAUGGAACAGUUUAGACAUUAAGACUUGCUUUCCUCCAUUAAGUUUGAUAUGAGAUCACAUAUUUAAGGGCACAUAAGUUAGGAAGUGAAUCAAGUGAUGUAUAAACUCAGCAAUUCUCUAUAUCGGAGAAUCUAAUUCUUUGUGGAUUAAACAUGUCAGGAUAUCUUAAUCCCAAAUUAAUUGUGGAUUAAAUCUAUGUCAGGUGAAUUACAUAUUUUUGGAGUCUGAUAUGCUCUCCUUUUCUUACCUAUUAUCUGAAUAAGUUUUAUCUCUAGUAAUUGGGGAUAGAUGGCCUCUUUCAUCUCUUCUGCCUGGAUGGUUAUUAUUUGCAAGCUGUUAACUGUUUAUCUGUGCUUCUUUCUCCUGUCACAUCAUUUUUCCCCCAUAGCAGCGAUAGAAUUUCAGUCAAUCCCUCCUUUCCAUCUCGUGUUUAGUGCCAUUUUUGGAAAUCCUGAACUAAAAUUGAAAGUGAAAGGAUUCACCUCAAGAAUCAUAUUCCCUCAUUUAUUGUAAAUGAUCACACAAAUGGGUGUCUUCAUUUGAUUUGAUGGUGGAACUCAUUUCAUGUCUCACUUUCUGUUACUUAAAUUGAUCGUUAUUCCAUUUUCUUUCUCCCUUUCCUUUUUGUCCAUUUACUCUUUCUUAAAUGUCUAUUUUUUUGGCAUAUGAAGUACUUCCCAACUGUCACUUUAUGCACAUAUAUCAUUAUUACCGAGCGUUUUCUCUUGUUAUUCUUGCCAUAUCAAUAUAUAAUGAGUGCGUUCAGUAGAAUUCAUGCUGCUAUCCCUCGAAAGAGAAUAAUGGCUUGAGAAUUAGAGUUUAAAAUAAGUCAGACAGUAUAUUGUUGGGCUGCUCUUUUCGUGACUACAUUUAUUGAGUAGCCUAGCUGUCUAAUUGACUGAUAUUAGAAAAUACGUAGGCCAUUAUAGUUUACAGCAGGAAGCUUGGCCAUAAAUUGUACCUACUCCAAUUUCUGACUAUGCGAGGACAGCGUUCUUAUUCUGACCACAUUUCCCCCAACUCUUUAGCUACAGCUGUCUGUUUUUAUGUGGUAUAAUGUUAGAUACAAAAUGUAUAUGGGAGACUGGGAGCUACCAAAGUAAUCCAAACAAGCCAUCUUAUCAUCUGUCUCUUUGGAUUCCUUUUGCUGUCUCAGCUUAAGUCAAUGAAGCCAGCAUUUCCCAUUCCUCAAUUCACUCCGUCUCUUGCUGAAUCAUCUGUUUGUCAUUAGUCUCUAGGACCAUUCUUACUACCGAAACCCAUGCCCUUUUGGCCUUUCUGCUUCCCAUUUGGAGCCUUCAUCAUUCACCUUGUCAGCUAAGGCAUUAUUUGGUUUGUUACAUGGGACUUGGAAUGGCAAGGAUUGGAUUGCAAAAGGGGUUAACCAAUCAGACCAUGCCUUUCCCAUUCAACGGUUGGAUUUUCCAAAUCAUCCUUCCACGUGGCAAAUUAAAUGGCAGUGCCUAGAAGCUUCCAUGGGUGGCCUACGAAGGUAAAGAUUACCUUAUAAGGGAAAGGGGGGCGGGGGAUGGGGAGAAGGUGAAGUUGGUGGAUAAAAUCAUCCACGGUUCUACCAUUUCUGCAACCUGUUGCCUUUGUUGUUUCCACCCGCUGCUGUUUCCGCUGCACAGGUGAGUUCUCCUCUCCCUCAGCCUUUUUCUUCUUAUUAUUCUGUGGCGGUGGCAGUGGCUGCUGCUGCUUCUGGGACCGGUAACAAUCUGUUUCCACCUCUGGUUCUGGGCUCUAGGAAAGAACAUGUCAAGAUGUCAUGGGUUGUCCCGGGUCAUAUCGAUCGUCUCAUGCCGAUUCAACCCGAGACAAGUUAUUUUUUUAUUUUUCUCAUUGUAUAUACCAUGCAUUGUAUUGGUGUAGAAUGAAUGGACUGAUACAUAUAGGUACUAAAUUCCUUGAUUUGAGGGUACACAUGGGCACCUCAAUAGAAAGCCUAGGUCUGGCCUUCCCUGGUACCAUCUGAACUAGUUGUAUUGGCCAAGGUUAUCCCUCACCUGUCUUGGCUCAUGAUGGUCCCUGGUGGUCUGGGGAUUAUAUCCUUAGGGUCUGUGGGCCAGGGUUUUGUUUACCUUGACAGCUCUACUCAGACCCAAGCUCUUUCUGUGUUAGAAAUGCAAACUAAUUUAUUUGCAGCUUUAAAUAUCUGGUACUCAGAGAAAAUAUAAAAUAUAACCUGAAGAUUCAAGGAAGCUUGUAUUAUCUCAAAAGUCUUGUUUCUUAACUUUUUUUUAAUGUUGAACCACUUUACCUCCCAAAACUCCAAUCUAAAUCUCCACCUUGAUGUUGUUGACUUCUUGUGUUCUUUAUUUUUUGUCAUAAAUCCUAUUUGGUCCACAAGGAACUAAAAAAUCCCUGCUUUCUCAUUUGUGAACUGUUGACAAUGACUUUGAGUGUAUAAGAACUUAAAAAGUAUUUGGAAAAUGCUUCAGUUCUCUUAAAUCAUACCCAAGACUGGAGACAAGUCUUGGCUGAAAUGGGACUACUUGCUGAGUUUGGGUUGACUUAGAAAGUUAGCAUCUUCAAACCAUGCCUCAUUAAUUUUCUGUUUGAUAUGGAUAAGCCAAAAAAAAAGUUUGGGUUGACUUAGAAAGUUAGCAUUUUCAAACCAUGCCUCAUUAAUUUGCUGUUUGAUAUGAGUAAGCCAAAAAAAGAAAAAAGUUGGCAGUGUUUCAAGAAGCGAAGUUAAGUUUCACAUGCAUUAUUAAGUCUUGAACAGGCUGAGAAUGAUAUAUCUGAGGCACUGAGGACAUGUUUCUGAAGGGACCGUUAAUGCAUGAUCCUUUGCAGGUAAUCCUGGUGUUUUAUCCAUCGUCACAAAUUUCAGCUACCAAAAGUCUAGUCCAUGACACUGCCAAAAAUCUACUCAUAAUUCCAGAUCAAAUUGUAUAUUUUUCAUUUCAAACUGAAAAGGAAUAAAUGUAAAUAUUUAGAAAAUGUAAAUGGUAGACCAGAAGAAAUUUGUGCUUACCAGGUUGAUUGAUCUUAGAGAGUCACCUGGAUGCUGUGUUUUCAACACCAUUCCUGUUCUUGUUAGAAGACCUAGUUUUUUUUUUUUUUGGGAGGGGGGGGGUUGGCAUCAAGGAUUAGAAUAGUUCAUGUAGAUGGGGUUAGAAAAUGGACGUGCUCAAGUGAUGUACAACCUGAGGAUGGUUAAAAGUAAGGGAAAAGGUUCUCUGAGUCGACUGCAGAGGAUACACUAGCAUCCCUUCUCUCUAUAUCUACCUCUUCUUCACAUGAAAUGAUCUCUCUGACCCCUAUGUACGAAACAGUUUUGUCACUCCUUAUUGGUGCGCUUCCUAAGCUGCUUGCUCAGAGAACCCUCUCCCUAAAAGCAAUUAUGUACAAGUAAAGACCUCUGGUGGUCUGGAAAGAUUCUUGGAUGUUAGGGGGAGCCCCUUUUAUCUUUUUAUCUUUUCUUUGCGUUAUCUGAAGGCCUAGAUUUUCUGUUGGAUAAAAUGGUUCAAAGGAAGAGUUAUGAUUUCAGAACUGGGUUUGUCUCUCAGAUUUGCACCAAGAAAAGUCAUACACUUCCUGGGAUCCAAACAGUGCCCCCUGUCAAUAAUACUUACUAUCACAUGCAGUAAGGAUAUCCAAAAAUAUUCUUUCAGAUGAUUGUGAUUUUGGAUUCAUAGGUUCAUCUGGGAGAUUUCAGGAGGUGCUUGCAGCAAAGAAACAGUAGAUAAAAAUAGGACUCUUUGUCCAAUAUUUGUACUAAUUUUGGUGCAUCCAUAUAUGAUGCUGUUGAACAUUUACAAGGUACAACCUUUAAUGUCACAGAUGUAUGAUGUGACCAAAGACUACUCUGACACAAUCAUGAAUUGUUUUGUUUGAAAUGUCUAGGAACCAUUUUAUCUCUCUCUCUCUCUGGUAAUAAGUUCAUUUUCUUUCUUGGUUUACAGAACUAAAAGUCAAGAUGACAUACUUUUCAUACUUGCCAAUUUUAAUCUAGUUAGUGAUUGCUAGUGAUACGUAAUUCAUGGAAUCAUGGGUUGGUGUGUUCGUCUUCUUCUGUCUGCUUACUAUUUGUAAGAGUGCAUCCAAAUGGUAUAAGUUAGCUGCGGCAAACAAUAUUAUGUUCUUGUUUGCUUAUUCUAAUUUUCAAAUCUAAUGCUGAUGCAAGGAUUUGAUUAUGGGUGCUUUGAAAUGAAAUUAGUUUUGGCAUUGGUGUCUGUUUCACCAACCUUGUGGCAGUGAACUUGUGUGUUGAAUAUAAAACUAUUUUAAUUAAGGUGUAGUACUUCAAAAAUCAGAAGAUAGAUUAGGUCCAUUAGGAAACAUAGCAUUUUUUUUUCUGGUGCAUCAACAGGAAGAAACAUCAAGCAUACAUUUUCAGAAUAUGGAACCCUAGGCACUAAAAUCAAUGUACAGUAUAUACUAAAACAUUUUAUUUAGCUUUAUCUGGAUAAUAACCAAAGCAACUUGAAGAUGGGUCUGAGCCCAGAAGACAGCUGUAUGGAGCGAAAAAUGAAAAUGCUAUGCCAGAGGGCCAACUAUACAAAGUCCCUUCACUAUCGCAUGUGUUUUGUGUUCCUUGAAUUCUUCACAUUGUGAUGCCCAAAAUACAAUCAGUUCUAAGCUUUAUGUGCAACCCUGUAAGCUGGUUGUCAAAACUUUCAAAAUUCCUCCUAUUCCUUUAUUCCCAAUGGAAAGAGAAGUAGCUUCAGGUGCAAGUGAUAGAAUAUUAAAAUUCUAUUCCAAAAGUAUGAUCAGCUCUAUAGCUUUCUGUGCAAUCCUGUAAGCUGGUUUUGAAAAGUUCUAAAAAAUCCUCCUGUUCCUUUCUUACCAAAUGGAAUGAGCAAUAGCUUCAGGAGUUAGUCACAGUAUGUUCCUACCUUUCUUUCCUAAUUCUUACUUAACCCACUUUCUGGAACCUCCUGCAGAUUUAGUUCUCAUACUUCUUAGGUGAAUGAGAAGUGUUCGAGGAGAUGGUACACCAUAUUUUAGGAAAAUAUUCUCAUUUAUGAGACACUAGAUGCUUACAUCGGGAAGUGACCUUCAUAAUUGGAUGUCAACUGUGUGAAUACAAUCUACUUGUAGUCAAAUAAUCCAGGAAUCUUUAUAGGUUUCCUUAAACCCAUUUAGCCUUCCCAAGAAUGUCUGUUAGGGCAUCUCCAAGAGAGUUCCAUUGAGACUUAUUUAAAAAAAAACCUCCCAUUACUUUCAAGUGCCCUGAUCCUUUGAUUUUUGUGCAUGACAUUGGCAUUUCCCAUAAUGACAAGCAGCCUUGCUACUGACUAAGUUCCCUAAUUAAUCAAUUAUUUAGGUGUCGGUGAGUAUUAAUUAGUUAUAAGAAUCACUUGAAUGACAGAAGUGCUUCUCAAAAGAAUGACUCAGAAAUUGUACGAAUUGUGGCCUUGGCUGCCCAAAGUGGUAUUUGAAGAUGGUGGCGCAGCAGGGAAUUGAAAAUAAAAGAACUAGAAAAUUAAUUAUAGCUGGAACAAUCACGUUUGGGAAUCACUAGGUUCCUGCUUCCAUGCUGAGGAACAUCCUAACUUCAGGUAUGCUGAUAAAGGUAUACAACACAAUCUGUGUUAAAUUUGCUUUUCUUGAGGGAUUUAAUUGUUGAUAUUUAAUAUAAUUGACUAAACAGUUCUAACAGUUAAAUGCUAGGAUUUGCAUUGAGGAAAGCUCUGUUCUCUGUUUUAUCUUUUAUAACUGAAAGGAAAUAAAAUUGACAUGAUUAGAUGGAGAGAAGACCAGAAUUGACACAUAUUAGUAGGAAAGGAAAAAAGAAGAGGAGAAUCUGAUUCACUGUGAUAUAUUUGUGGCUUUUUUAGUACUUAGGUUGAUGUAAUUAUGGCUUUUCUACUACCCAGGUUGAUAUAGUUAUGGCCUUUUUAUUACUUGGCUACUUUAGCUAAGUCAAUGUAUCGAAGUAAUAAAAAGCCAAACUACAUUCUAGCUUUGAAGUGGAUAGCUCAAAAGACGCAUUAAAUACCAUGAUUUUUUUUGGUUUCAAGGGGGAAAAUUUUUAAAGAUGAUUAUUUCUUUUUUCACUUCUUAGAUAUGGGUUGGUGGUAACAACACUGGAAGAUUUGCUUCCUGUAGCAACAGUGUUGGAUAAGCAUGCUACCUGGCAUGUCAAAUGAGGCCUAAUUUUUUCUGAUUGCUAAGCUCCAAUCUUCCUUACUCACACACCAAGUUAGAGUCCAAAUAGAUUAUGCAUCUGUCAAAAUAAAGAAAAGGGAAAUGGUGAAACUAACUAUUCCAAAGGGACUCUCAGUUAUUGUGAAAAUACAAUGGAAAAGAUGCAAUGAAUGGUGUGCCAUACAACUGAAGAAGUGUCCCAAAUAUUCCACGUGGACAAUACAGGGAGGGUAUCCUCAUAUCUAAUGGUGUGAUUGGUCCAACUUCACUUGCCACAUGGUAAAACGGAGCACCAGAGCUCUCUAUACUCCUCAUCUUAAGUCCUUUUGUCUCUUAAAUAUCCUAGAUUAGUUCACCCAUCAUUUUGUACUUUAUAUAUAAUAUUACUAUUACUCAUUUAAGUUAUUUCGAGUGGAUAAUUGAUGAAACUCCUUUUGUACUUCAGAUUCAUGAGUAAGGAAAUAAAUCUGAUUGAUUUUGAUAAGUAUUUGACUUUUGUUUUACAAUACCCUACUCUUGUUUAUUCCAUAUUAGCAGAAUAUAGUGGGUUUUGUUAUUCAAUUUCUUUUUCAAAAGUAGUUGCACAUUUUAAUCUCUAUAUUUCUUGUUGGAAAGCUGUGUCAACUUAAGCUUUUGGGGGCACUGACUGCAUCAGAUCAGAAUGAAGACCGCAUGAAAAUAACAAAAUCUGAUAUUCGAGAGAUGAAUGUGAGAGAUGUUCUGGGAAAGGACUUGGAUACUAAAAAAUACAUUUCACACGGUAACUACUUAAAAAAAAAAAAAAAAAGAAAAAAAAAGAAAAACAAACAGAAAACAAAAACAGAAAAAAAAAACACAGAGGAUAGUAAAGUUGGGGAGAAUGUUGCACAAGGAGCUGCUUCAGCUGAUAUGGAAGACCUCUGGGGAAGUUAACGUGGAAGCUUUCUUAACAGCUGAUGAUAUUAUAAAAUCUGGUGAAUUUGGUGCUAGAGAUGAUAUAAGUAUUUUCUUCCUGUUGCAAUUGAUUCUACUGACUGUGGACCUUCUCUUUGGAUGCCCGUGACUAUGAAGGCUCACAAGGGGAAAUCUCCAGCCAGGUUUUGGAUGGACUCAUGCUAGAUUGUCAGAGGAUUCAAGGGGAAAUCUCCAGCCAGGUCUUGGAUGGACUCAUGCUAAAGUGUCAGAGGAAUCAUGCUGCUCUUUCUUCAUCCAGGUUUCCCACAGUUACUACUGUCAUGUACCAACAACCAGAUCACUCAUACAUUUCUUUAAAAUAAUUACUUUGAAGUGUUCUUCGGUACAUGUUGCUUUUUUGACUCUGACAUCCUUAGAGCACAUGUAGCAUAUAAUUUUUUUUAUUGAUAAGUAGCAUAUGACUCUUGUUAAUUCAACUAGAUAAACUAUGGAUUUACCAAUGCAA